rnacentral:rRNA from 1 species
CCUCAAUCUCGAUUGGUGACCAGCGGAGGGACAUUACCGAGUUAUACAACUCAUCAACCCUGUGAACAUACCUAAAACGUUGCUUCGGCGGGAACAGACGGCCCCGUAACACGGGCCGCCCCCGCCAGAGGACCCCCUAACUCUGUUUCUAUUAUGUUUCUUCUGAGUAAAACAAGCAAAUAAAUUAAAACUUUCAACAACGGAUCUCUUGGCUCUGGCAUCGAUGAAGAACGCAGCGAAAUGCGAUAAGUAAUGUGAAUUGCAGAAUUCAGUGAAUCAUCGAAUCUUUGAACGCACAUUGCGCCCGCCAGUAUUCUGGCGGGCAUGCCUGUUCGAGCGUCAUUACAACCCUCAGGCCCCCGGGCCUGGCGUUGGGGAUCGGCGAGGCGCCCCCUGCGGGCACACGCCGUCCCCCAAAUACAGUGGCGGUCCCGCCGCAGCUUCCAUUGCGUAGUAGCUAACACCUCGCAACUGGAGAGCGGCGCGGCCACGCCGUAAAACACCCAACUUCUGAAUGUUGACCUCGAAUCAGGUAGGAAUACCCGCUGAACUUAAGCAUAUCAAA